AGCUUUGCACAGUGGCAGUAUUGCGGCCAGUGAGGUUUAUCUGAGGUGAGAUUAUUGCUAAUUGAAAACAAAGAGACAGAUUUGC
rnacentral:snRNA from 1 species